rnacentral:misc_RNA from 1 species
CCUCCGUUGGUGAACCAGCGGAGGGAUCAUUACCGAGUUUACAACUCCCAAACCCAAUGUGAACCAUACCAAACUGUUGCCUCGGCGGGGUCACGCCCCGGGUGCGUCGCAGCCCCGGAACCAGGCGCCCGCCGGAGGGACCAACCAAACUCUUUCUGUAGUCCCCUCGCGGACGUUAUUUUUACAGCUCUGAGCAAAAAAUCAAAAUGAAUCAAAACUUUCAACAACGGAUCUCUUGGUUCUG